rnacentral:rRNA from 1 species
GCGCACCAGGCGAGAAAACUUUACAAUGUGCGAAAGCACGAUAAGGGAACUCUGAGUGCCUCCUAAGGAGGCUGUUCUGAUGUCUAAAAAGCAACAGAAGUAAGGGCUGGGUAAGACCGGUGCCAGCCGCCGCGGUAACACCGGCAGCCCAAGUGGUAGCCACGUUUAUUGGGUCUAAAGCGUUCGUAGCCGGCCAGGUAAGUUCCUUGGUAAAUUUAGCCGCUUAACGGUUAAGCUUUCGGGGAAUACUGCUUGGCUUGGGACUGGGAGAGGUCAGAGGUACUCCGGGGGUAGGGGUGAAAUCUAUUAAUCCCUGGGGGACCACCGGUAGCGAAGGCGUCUGACCAGACCAGGUCCGACGGUGAGGGACGAAGGCUAGGGGCGCGAACCGGAUUAGAUACCCC